rnacentral:rRNA from 1 species
UACGAAGGGGGCGAGCGUUGUUCGGAAUUACUGGGCGUAAAGGGCGCGCAGGCGGCCUUAGAAGUCAGAUGUGAAAGCCCCGGGCUCAACCUGGGAAUGGCAUUUGAUACUCUGAGGCUGGAGUACGGGAGAGGAGAGUGGAAUUCCCAGUGUAGAGGUGAAAUUCGUAGAUAUUGGGAAGAACACCGGGUGGCGAAGGCGGCUCUCUGGACCGUAACUGACGCUGAGGCGCGAAAGCGUGGGGAGCAAACAGGG